CACGUAGGGCGCAAGCGUUGUCCGGAAUUAUUGGGCGUAAAGAGCUCGUAGGCGGUCUGUUGCGUCUGCUGUGAAACUCGGGGCUUAACCCCGAGCCUGCAGUGGAUACGGGCAGACUAGAGGUAGGUAGGGGAGAAUGGAAUUCCCGGUGUAGCGGUGAAAUGCGUAGAUAUCCGGAGGAACACCGGUGGCGAAGGCGGCUUCCUGGACCGACACUGACGCUGAGGCGCGAAAGCUAGGGGAGCAAACGGG
rnacentral:rRNA from 1 species